UACGGAGGAUUCGAGCGUUAUCCGGAUUUAUUGGGUUUAAAGGGUGCGUAGGCGGUAACAUAAGUCAGUGGUGAAAGGCUGUGGCUCAACCAUAGGAUUGCCAUUGAAACUGUGUUACUUGAAUAUAGAUGAGGUAGGCGGAAUGUGUAGUGUAGCGGUGAAAUGCAUAGAUAUGACUCAGAACACCGAUUGCGAAGGCAGCUUACUAACAUGUAACUGACGCUGAGGGACGAAAGCGUGGGGAGCGAACAGG
rnacentral:rRNA from 1 species